UACAGAGGGUGCAAGCGUUAUUCGGAAUUACUGGGCGUAAAGGGCGCGUAGGCGGUUUGGUAAGUCUGGUGUGAAAUCCCUGAACUCAAUUCAGGAAGUGCAUUGGAUACUGCUAGACUAGAGUAUUGGAGGGGUGAGCGGAAUUCCUGGUGUAGAGGUGAAAUUCGUAGAUAUCAGGAGGAACAACGGAGGCGAAGGCGGCUCACUGGACAAUUACUGACGCUGAAGCGCGAAAGCGUGGGGAGCAAACAGG
rnacentral:rRNA from 1 species